AUGAACGCUGGCGGCGUGCCUAAUACAUGCAAGUCGAGCGAACGGACGAGAAGCUUGCUUUUCUGAUGUUAGCGGCGGACGGGUGAGUAACACGUGGAUAACCUACCUAUAAGACUGGGAUAACUUCGGGAAACCGGAGCUAAUACCGGAUAAUAUUUUGAACCGCAUGGUUCAAAAGUGAAAGACGGUCUUGCUGUCACUUAUAGAUGGAUCCGCGCUGCAUUAGCUAGUUGGUAAGGUAACGGCUUACCAAGGCAACGAUGCAUAGCCGACCUGAGAGGGUGAUCGGCCACACUGGAACUGAGACACGGUCCAGACUCCUACGGGAGGCAGCAGUAGGGAAUCUUCCGCAAUGGGCGAAAGCCUGACGGAGCAACGCCGCGUGAGUGAUGAAGGUCUUCGGAUCGUAAAACUCUGUUAUUAGGGAAGAACAUAUGUGUAAGUAACUGUGCACAUCUUGACGGUGCCUAAUCAGAAAGCCACGGCUAACUACGUG
rnacentral:rRNA from 1 species